AAAGAAGAAUAUAUUAAAAGGAUUCAGGGUAUCUCACAGAAAUCAAGGCCUGAACCUCGGGUGCCCACAGCUGUGACCUGCCAUCAGGGAAGUCUUUAUUAGGCACAAUAUGGAGUCCUGAGCCCCUCUUGGACUCAAGUCAGAAAAACAGGAAAGCUGGACCAGAAAAUAAUGCUUGCUAUCUUCAGGAAAUGAACAGACAGAUGCAGGUGAUAAAAUCACGUAUGUUUUAAAUAUAACAUCGUAACUGUCAUAACUCAAGUUUGAACAAAAUACUAUAGGAAUGUUUAUGCCGGUGACUGUCACAUAGUGGGGCCUCCAGAAAAACUUUUGGAAAGAAUCAGUAGUGAAUGGGGAUGUCCAUUUAUUCUUGUGUAGUUAUAAACAGCUUUACUGAAGAGGUAGCAUUUGAGCUGAUUUCUGCAGGAUCUGUAAAUUUUGGAUAGUAGGUAGGCAGUGGAUUGGGUACUUUUGCUGUAUGCACAGCUUGUAUAAAAGCACUAAGUUGUGAACAGAUGGAGAACAUUGAUUGUGAAUGUAGUAUUGAUUAUGUGGGAGAAUGGUUGGAGGUAUUGGUUACAGCCGAGUUGAGAAAGGCUGUAAAGGCCAUGGUAGAGAAUUUGGACCUUCUUUUCUUUUUCUUUUCUUUUCUUUUUUUUUUUUUUUUUUGAGGCAGAACCUUGCUCUGUUGCUCAGGCUGGAGUGCAGUGGCACGAUCUCAGCUCACUGCAACCUCCGCAUCCCAGGUUCAAGCAAUUCUCCUGCCUCAGCCUCCCCAGUAGCCGGGAUUACAGGUUCCUGCCAUCAUGGCUGGCUAAUUUUUUGUAUUUUUAGUAGAGACGGGGUUUCACCAUGUUGGCCAGGCUGGUCUUGAUCUCCUGACCUCAUGGACCUUAUUUUCUAAGAGUCACCUGAGAGUUUCCAAUAGAGGAGUGAUGAGGGAGAAGAUUUAUUAUUUUAUUUUAUGUUAUUACUUUUUCCUCUAUUCUUAACCUUGAACAUUUAUUCUUCUCGAAAGAUUUAUUCUUCUGAAAUAUAACUCUGGUCAGUGUUAGACUGAAGUGGCCAGAGAUGAUCAGUAUGGACAUGAAUUAAGAUGCUGUUUUGAAAGUCUAUACGAGAAAAGGAAAAAGGAGUCUAUGCAGGAGAUGGAAGGCUCCAUAGAAGGCUGUAGAAGUGAGAGUGCAAAGGAGAACUUAAAGUUGGUAUUCUUUGGGGAAGUAGACUUUACGGGACCAUUUGCUUUAACCUAGAGCCAGAUUUGGAUUAGUCUGGUCCAUUCGAUGUACUAGGUGGAAGUUAAUAAAGCUAAGCCCUGGGUACACCGUUCCCAUCCCCUUGUGUCCUCCUUCAUAACUCUGAUCUUGUGUCUGCCUGCUUGAUGAUACUUUAGCCAUGUCUCCAGUUUUCCAACCUUGUAAUGACUCCUGAGACCUGAUGAUAGAUAUUUGAUUUCUUUUUGGAUUUUGGCUAUCACUCACCUUCUGGUCCCACUAAUUUGUGGGUUCUUCGCAUAUUAAAACAAACAAAGCAGGACAAAGAAACAGGCUUAUAGGGAAAAUAUAAGUUAUAAUAAAUGGUGCUAAAUGCUUCAACAGAGGCAUGGACAGAAUACUAUAGAAGCUAGGUGGAAGGACUGCCUAAUGCCCCUGGGGUCAGUUAGGGCAGAGGAGAAAAUGCUUUAGCUUGGUGUUGGUGGAUGAGUAGCUAUGUUACAUGGGAAAUUUGAGGUGCCUGUGAGAUACUCAGGUGGAGCUGACCAGACCAGGAGAUGGCUGGAGUGAUGGAUCUAGAAAGGCAGUGGGUCUUGACCUUGGGUGCCUAUUAGGGAAACUAAACAACAAAUUCAUGCCUUGGUCCUAUUCGUAGAGAUACUGAUUUAAUUUAUAUGACACAGGGACACAGUUUGGUAUGUCUUAAAAUCAACUGAGGUAAUGCUAAUGUGAAGCCAGGGUUGACAAUUGGUGUAACUCAAGAGAGAGAUACUCCUGGAGAAGGUAGAGAUAGGUGAUAGCUGAAGGCUUAGAUAUAUAUCAGCUUAGAAACAGGGAGAAGGAGAAGAAAAUUGGACCAGAGACAAAUUCCUCUGGGAUUACCAACAUUGUGGUAGGUACCAAGGAGGUGGCCAGCAAAGAACCUGCAAACAUAAUUCCUAACUCUUAAUUGUACUGUUUUAAUAUAGGUUAUUGAUGUAUUUUUGCAUAGUUUUUCCCUGCUAUGACUCAGCUAUCAGGAUGUACUUUAAGUGCCUGAUUCACAUAUCUGUUGUUGAUUGACAGACUGAUGCAACCGGUAAACAUUAAUCCUUUUAUCAUUGAUGUAGAAAAUCAUGACCUUUAAUUCAUAUCAGCAGCAAAUACCUAUAUCUGCCUCCAAGUUUAUUUAAAAGAAUGCAUGAAAGUAACAAUUUCCAAGAAUCCUUUUCAGAAUUCAAAGUCACCUGUCAUUUUUGCCAUAAAUUCUUUGAGGCAUGAAAUAGCCUGCCAGUUGUCUAUUGCUCUGAAAGUUAAUGAAUGGUUAUCAAUUUAUCAUGGGUAAUAGCCUAGCUGCAAAUUGUAAAGAAAGCAUUCUGUCGCUUUCUAGCAUUUUUGCCUCAAGGCAGUAUCUGGCUUUUCUAUAGUAUCUGGCUUUUCUAUAGCAUUUGGAGGCUCAGUGUCCCUAAAGCUUUUAAUAGAACUCAUUUCUUUCUAGGAAACCUCUUAACAUUUGGUAAUAGCUCAUUGAAAUAUUAGCUGGUUAUAUCUUGCUUUGUGUAAUAGAUUUUGUGUAAGUAAAAUUUCUCAAUGUAGGACUGGAAAUACAAUUUCUUGAUGUACAUUCAACCCAGUAUAGCAUGACAGUUUUAGAGAUAUUUAAUUUUUAUUUCCAAUUCAUAUUCCAUUCAGUUCUUACAAGCAAAUGUGGUGGUUUUGCAAUUCUCUCUCCUCUUGGUUGGGUAGUUAAUGAUUGGAAAACAGGACUGUUUCAAGGAACCUUAUUUUUAAAGGAAUACUUUUUCUCUCCCUAAAAAGUGAGAAAUUCUCUAUAACAUGAGCUCUUUCAGUUCAGGGACUUGGACUUGACUGUGUCUUUAUUUAAAAAAACAAACAAAAACCGCUGAGUCUAUGUCUUAUUAAAUUUAGCAUUUCAGGCACUGAGCGCAGCAUCAUAACUCAGUAAAUAUUUGUUGAAUUAAUGUGAAUUAUCACCCCACAUCUUCAGUUAUAAAUUUGUUGUAUUGUAGAGUGGGUUAUCUAAGGGAUAGGAGGAGAUUGAUUUAACCCAACAUGUGGCUUUUAUUACAGUACUAUAAAUAGAGGUGACUACAGAGCUCAACAUGCCUAUUUUCAGUCACAAACUUGAUUUCAGUCCCAGUUCUUUCAUUGUUCAAGAGCUGCCCUUAGAGCUUGCAUCCAGUCCUGUUGCUUUAUAUAAGAAUUCUUUGAGUGUUUUUAUGUGUUUCCUUUUGACUCAUUCAGUAAGAGCCUAGCACAGUGACUUGUUAAAUUAACUGUGGUUACUGAAAUUACUGAAUAUGUUUUAAUGAAAUAGGAUGAUACACAUUGCUGACGCUUGAGGCUUUAGUGUGUUUUUAAUAAUCUCUCAUCAGUUAUUACCACUGCCGUGGAUUAUUUACCUGUGUACAUUUUACAGGCCUCCAAAUCUUUUCAGCUUCUAAAAGUUGAAAGAAAUAAAAUUCUAUUCUGAUUGAUUACUCCUUAGAUUUUUAUUCCUGUAAUAUAUAUGGGAACUCAGAGAGAAAUUCUCCCAUUAUUAGUUUGCCUUAUGUAUUUCUUUUCAUGUAUUGCUUUGUAUUCUCUUCAUGUUUGUUUCUCCAAGCAUAUAAUAAAUAUUUCUCUUGAUGGAA